GCGGACGUGGCGGAAUUGGUAGACGCGCUAGCUUGAGGGGCUAGUGAGCUUUGGCUCGUGGAGGUUCAAGUCCUCUCGUCCGCACCA
rnacentral:tRNA from 1 species